rnacentral:lncRNA from 1 species
CUGCAUAUAACCCGUUUUAUAAACAAAUCAUCGUAAGGACAUCAUCAUGAAUAUCAAAUAAAAGAGAAUAUACAUAGAACCACACUAAAUAAGCUAGCUAUUAGCAUUCUUUCAUUUAGCAGCAUCAUGAUGAUGAUUGUGAUGAUGGCUAGUUAUGAUGAGUGGCAAGGAGGGAGAGUUUGGCACUCGGACUCUGAAACGCGAGAGGCAUGGAACUUGGCGAUAAAGGCAGAAGCCUUACGGUCAAUCCCUGGCUCAGCCACCCAAUAUCGCUUGUCCUCGUCGCUGGCCCAUGCCUUUCUUGUGUAUACGCCGUCGUCCCAUGCGUCUGCUUCAAUCAUAUGAGACGACCUUCGUGACUUAAAGAAGCUGAAGAGAGAGAACUUCUUUCUGCUGUUGCCUCCCAUUAGUUAGAAAAAGAACACACUAAGAUUCAAGAAAAAAAACUGUAAAUUUGUUUAAGGUUGAUGUGUU